GGACAUCCUGUGAUGACUACAACGGCGCUACGGAAAAGGGUCCUGAGGUGAGGAUUGAUGCAGGGGAAAUCCUGACUGACUGAAACACGUCUGAUGACGUCCGCUCUCCUUCCUCCUUCUUUUGCCCCCUGCCUCUUCAGUUUUCUCCUCCUCAGUCUCCCCUUCUCUUGUGCCACAGGAUAUAGAGCUGAAAUGAUAAUCGUAAGAGUGGAGAAAGUGGAAACAGCACUGAGAUCCAGGAAACGUCUGGGAAGAUAAGCAGGAUGAUGAGACAGAAGCCACUUGGGUGCCUGCUCUUAACAGGGCUACUGGAUGUAACACACACAUACAGAUGCAGCUGCUGUCCUCUUUCGGAUCAAUCAGGAAUGUAGCUGCUGGGCUGUGAGGACACGACAUGAAGGUGGACUCACCAAAUGUGUGUGUGUGUGUGUGUGUGUGUGUGUGUGUGUGUGUGUGUGUCAUGUAAAAAUGAAUCAUCUUUAAUGUUAUCAGUUCAUACCCACUUUGAGGCUACGUUUUUCGCUCCAACAUAAUUCUUCUGGCUGUGUUACAUUGUACUGUAAAUGUUGUGUAUUACCUAUUUCGAUGUGGAAAUUCGGACAAAUAUUUCUGUGUAAUAACUCGGCCAACAUCACAGCCUGUAAUUUGAUAAAUGUUUAUUAACGUGGAGAUUAAUUUAAAUUAUUUUGUGCGUAAGGAUAUUCCAGAAAUCUAAAUGACUUUGUGUACAUUUUAUUUUGUGACAGAUCACAUUUUAUAAAUGUAUUCUUACUUUGAAUGGCUGGUCAGUGAUCAGUUUCAUUUUCAUCCCGUUUGCAAAUGUUGCACAAGUUACUGCUGCUGCCUUCCCCGGUCUCCUCCAUCUCUCUCCACUUGUGUCAGAGAAUCUGAGCAGCUGCAUGACGACUUUCAGCAUGUGGACUCAGUUUCAUACUCUCCAUCCUCUGCUGAGUACACGACAAGCUUUACUUAG